rnacentral:rRNA from 1 species
AGUGAACGCUGGCGGUAGACCUAACACAUGCAAGUCGAACGGCAGCACAGUAAGAGCUUGCUCUUACGGGUGGCGAGUGGCGGACGGGUGAGGAAUACAUCGGAAUCUACUUUUUCGUGGGGGAUAACGUAGGGAAACUUACGCUAAUACCGCAUACGACCUACGGUUGAAAGCAGGGGAUCUUCGGACCUUGCGCGAUUGAAUGAGCCGAUGUCGGAUUAGCUAGUUGGCGGGGUAAAGGCCCACCAAGGCGACGAUCCGUAGCUGGUCUGAGAGGAGGAUCAGCCACAUUGGAACUGAGACACGGUCCAGAGUCCUACGGGAGGCAGCAGUGGGGAAUAUUGGACAAUGGGCGCAAGCCUGAUCCAGCCAUACCGCGUGGGUGAAGAAGGCCUUCGGGUUGUAAAGCCCUUUUGUUGGGAAAGAAAAGCAGCAGGUUAAUACCCCGCUGUUCUGACGGUACCCAAAGAAUAAGCACCGGCUAACUUCGUG